GACGAACGCUGGCGGCGUGCUUAACACAUGCAAGUCGAACGGAAAGGCCCUGCUUUUGUGGGGUGCUCGAGUGGCGAACGGGUGAGUAACACGUGAGUAACCUGCCCUUGACUUUGGGAUAACUUCAGGAAACUGGGGCUAAUACCGGAUAGGAGCUCCCGCUGCAUGGUGAGGGUUGGAAAGUUUCGGCGGUUGGGGAUGGACUCGCGGCUUAUCGGCUUGUUGGUGGGGUAGUGGCUUACCAAGGCUUUGACGGGUAGCCGGCCUGAGAGGGUGACCGGGCACAUUGGGACUGAGAUACGGCCCAGACUCCUACGGGAGGCAGCAGUGGGGAAUAUUGCACAAUGGGCGGAAGCCUGAUGCAGCAACGCCGCGUGCGGGAUGACGGCCUUCGGGUUGUAAACCGCUUUCGCCUGUGACGAAGCGUGAGUGACGGUAAUGGGUAAAGAAGCACCGGCUAACUACGUG
rnacentral:rRNA from 1 species